AUUGAACGCUGGCGGCAGGCCUAACACAUGCAAGUCGAGCGGAGCGGCGGACGGGUGAGUAAUGCCUAGGAAUCUGCCUGGUAGUGUGGGAUAACGUCCGGAAACGGGCGCUAAUACCGCAUACUAUCAGAUGAGCCUAGGUCGGAUUAGCUAGUUGGUGGGGUAAAGGCCUACCAAGGCGACGAUCCGGAACGGGUCUGAGAGGAUGAUCAGUCAGACUGGAACUGAGACAAGGUCCAGACGCCUAAGGCAGGCAGCAGAGGGGGAUAUUGGACAAUGGGCGCAAGCCUGAUCCAGCCAUGCCGCGUGUGUGAAGAAGGUCUUCGGAUUGUAAAGCACUUUAAGUUGGGAGGCGGUAGCAACAGAAUAAGCACCGGCUAACUUCGUGCCAGCAGCCGCGGUAAUAC
rnacentral:rRNA from 1 species